UACGGGGGGGGGCAAGCGUUGUUCGGAAUUAUUGGGCGUAAAGGGCGCGUAGGCGGCUUGGCAAGUGGAUGGUGAAAUCCCUCGGCUUAACCGAGGAACUGCCGUCCAAACUGCUUUGCUUGAGACCGGGAGAGGUGAGUGGAAUUCCCAGUGUAGCGGUGAAAUGCGUAGAUAUUGGGAGGAACACCAGUGGCGAAGGCGGCUCACUGGACCGGUACUGACGCUAAGGCGCGAAAGCGUGGGGAGCGAACAGG
rnacentral:rRNA from 1 species